CACGUUACCCCCCGUGCACACAGAGACCAGCUCCCCUCAAUUUCGGUCUUUUGGCAAUCUCUGGUAAAUCAUCGCCGAACAGUUUUGAUUCAGAGACAUCCAAAGGGUCGGGGUAGGGUAUUGAAGUAGUUGUCCCAUGCAAGCAGCCUGGUUUCUUGGAAGCAGAAAGUGUAAUAGAAGAUGUCGGAGAACGGACCGAGUGGUAGUUCGAAGAUGACUUCUGUCGCGCGCUGUGAAGAAGAAGACGCUUUACGAAUCACUGACCAACACGGCCAGUGACCGGGUUCCUGGGUCCUAGACCCCCUGAUCACCCCGACAGUCGCAGACGCGGGUAGGGAUACGUCCUUACCAAAAAAUAAAUACUUGAACAACUGUUAACAAUGGAUAUCUUGGUUCUCGCAACGAUGAAGAACGCAGCGAAAUGCGAUACGUAAUGCGAAUUGCAGAAUUCAGUGAAUCAUCGAAUCUUUGAACGCAAAUUGCGCUCUCGGGUUACCCCCAAGAGCACACCUCUCUGAGUGUCGGUUAAACCAAAUGCCACCAAUUUAUUGGAGGGCGACAGACUGAGGGUAAGGGGUCUCGGCUUCUUUCCUUUUAAAACUCAGCCGCACGAUUGUGUGUGUCGGUGGCAAGUUGCUUUCACUUAAUUGUGAAUACAAUCCACUGACCCUAUGUUGUGUAGCCAAAAGAAACAAAUGAACAAAGAAGCGAAACCUAAGGGCUGGAAACAACUUUAGGUGAGCAACUUUGAACAUCCAUGAAUUAGACCUCAGAUGAAGUGGGAAGACCCCCUGAAUUUAAGCAUAUUAUUAA
rnacentral:rRNA from 1 species